CGAUACGUCAGAUAGUCUGGCAUACAUAAUAUUCAUUAUUUCAAAUAAUUUUGGCAUGUAUUUAACUGCAGAAAAAAAAGCUGAAAUCUUUUCAAAGUAUGGAAAGUCAGUA
rfam:Nonlabens sediminis DNA, contig: contig00007, strain: JCM 19294.